AGUGAACGCUGGCGGUAGGCCUAACACAUGCAAGUCGAACGGCAGCACAGAGGAGCUUGCUCCUUGGGUGGCGAGUGGCGGACGGGUGAGGAAUACAUCGGAAUCUACUCUGUCGUGGGGGAUAACGUAGGGAAACUUACGCUAAUACCGCAUACGACCUACGGGUGAAAGCAGGGGACCUUCGGGCCUUGCGCGAUUGAAUGAGCCGAUGUCGGAUUAGCUAGUUGGCGGGGUAAAGGCCCACCAAGGCGACGAUCCGUAGCUGGUCUGAGAGGAUGGUCGGCCACACUGGAACUGAGACACGGUCCAGACUACUACGGGAGGCAGCAGUGGGGAAUAUUGGACAAUGGGCGCAAGCCUGAUCCAGCCAUACCGCGUGGGUGAAGAAGGCCUUCGGGUUGUAAAGCCCUUUUGUUGGGAAAGAAAUCCAGCUGGCUAAUACCCGGUUGGGAUGACGGUACCCAAAGAAUAAGCACCGGCUAACUUCGUGCCAGCAGCCGCCGCCG
rnacentral:rRNA from 1 species